rnacentral:rRNA from 1 species
CGUAGACCUCAACUCAGACGUGAUUACCCGCUGAAUUUAAGCAUAUAACUAAGCGGAGGAAAGUAAACUAACGAGGACUCUCGUAGUAACGGCGAGUGAACGGAGAUGUGUCCAGCGCUGAAUCCUGCAACCGUCGGUUGUGUGGAGCUGUAGCGUAUAGGUGCGGCUUUCGGCGUACGAUGCUCGACCGAAGUUCCCUUGAUUGGGACCACUGUCCGGAGUAGGUGCGAGACCUGUGCGGUUGAGCGGAGUGUGCUGGUUGCCGUUCCUUGGAGUCGGGUUGCCUGGGAACGCAGCCCGAAGAUGGUGGUAAACCUCAUCUAAGACUAAGUAUCGACACGAGACCGAUAGCGAACAAGUACCGUAAGGGAAAGUUGCAAAGUACUUUGAAAAGAGAGUUCAAGAGAACGUGAGACCGAUAGGGUGGAAGCGAAUUGAGCCAACAGACGGCGACGGUAUUCAACCGGUUGUUUGUCCGAAUGCGACUCGUGACGGUCGCUCGCUUCGGCGGCACGUUUGCGUCGAGUGUUCGGUCUCCUGCUGCUGGUGUAUUUAUCGUCGUUUUGCGUUGCGGGCGUCUUUUGUGUGGACGCUGGUC